UACGGAGGGGGCUAGCGUUGUUCGGAAUUACUGGGCGUAAAGCGCACGUAGGCGGCUUUGUAAGUUAGAGGUGAAAGCCCGGAGCUCAACUCCGGAACUGCCUUUAAGACUGCAUCGCUAGAAUUGUGGAGAGGUGAGUGGAAUUCCGAGUGUAGAGGUGAAAUUCGUAGAUAUUCGGAAGAACACCAGUGGCGAAGGCGACUCACUGGACACAUAUUGACGCUGAGGUGCGAAAGCGUGGGGAGCGAACAGG
rnacentral:rRNA from 1 species